rnacentral:rRNA from 1 species
UACGUAGGGUGCGAGCGUUGUCCGGAAUUAUUGGGCGUAAAGAGCUCGUAGGCGGUCUGUCGCGUCGAUCGUGAAAACUUGGGGCUUAACCCUGAGCUUGCGGUCGAUACGGGCAUGACUGGAGUUCGGCAGGGGAGACUGGAAUUCCUGGUGUAGCGGUGAAAUGCGCAGAUAUCAGGAGGAACACCGGUGGCGAAGGCGGCUUCCUGGACAGUUACUGACGCUGAGACGCGAAAGCGUGGGGAGCAAACAGG